CAAUAGCGUAUAUUAAUGUUGUUGCAGUUAAAAAGCUCGUAGUUGGAUUUCUGGUGGGAGUGGCCGGUCCGCCGUAAGGUGUGUACUUGGUUGUCUCCCGUCAUCCUUGUGGGAACUGCUCUGGCAUUAAGUUGUCGGGGUUAGGGAACACAUCGUUUACUGUGAAAAAAUUAGAGUGUUUAAAGCAGGCUUAUGCCGUUGAAUACAUUAGCAUGGAAUAAUAGCAUCGGACCUCGACCUAAAAGCUGUUGGUUUCUUGGGUCGAGGUAAAGAUGAAUAGGGAUUGUUGGGGGCAUUCGUAUUUAACUGUCAGAGGUGAAAUUCUUGGAUUUGUUGAAGACGGACUACUGCGAAAGCAUCUGCCAAAGAUGCUCUCAUUGAUCAAGAACGAAAGUUAGGGGAUCGAAGACGAUCAGAUACCAU
rnacentral:rRNA from 1 species